rnacentral:lncRNA from 1 species
UAUGCCACGGGUGCAGCCCUAAAAAAAAGAGACAAAAAAGAUCAAGUUGCUUUCACUUUAGGGUAUCAUUAUCUAGUACCUCAGACCAACAUGGAGAGGAAGAAAAUCCUCUUUGACAGGCAAGGGGGAAAAAAAAAGACCUCUAUUAUUUUGGAGGCCUUGAGCCAAUCACUCGUAAGCUGAGGAAAGACUUUGUUACCAAAUAAACAUAAGAAAAACCAAGAGAGAGUAUGGAGAGGGUCAGAUCUCAUCCUAUGAUUUACUCAUUUUCUCAGUAGCCCAGGCCAUGAAAUAGCUUCCAAACCAUGUUCAUCUUUCCACUUACAAAUCAGUCCCUUUCCUCCAGGGGAAGUUUGAAACAACUUCUCACUGGGGGCAGCAGCAGGCAGCACUGCAGUCUUGGCUUUGGACCUGAGGCAGUGCCUGGUUACACUCUGCUUCCCAGCACCCCAAGUAGUGCCUGGCACAUGGUAGGGACGUGUUCACACAGUUUUUGUGGGACUGACCUGGUGGUGAACAAAGGCCGGGAAGUGGGCAUAUGCCAAAUGCGUUUGAGGAUGAGUCAAAUAACAGAAAUACCAAGAGCCAGUAGCAUGCUGAGUACUUGAUGUUUUCUUCUCAUUUAAACCUCCCCAGAUCUCCAGGUGGUAGGACUAUUCGUAUCAUCUGUUUUGCAGUUGGGAAACAGGUCAGAUGAACAAUGUCUUAGUUUGCUGGUAGUGCUAUGACAAAACACCAUUGACUGUGACUGAACAGGAAUUUAGUUUCUCACAGUUCUGGAGGCUUGAAGUCCACAAUCAAGGUGCCAUCAGAGCUGAUUUCAUUCUGAGGCAGCCAUCUUACUGAGUGCUCACUUGUCCUCUUUAUGCAUGAGCAUAGUUGUGGGGGCGGGGAGGGUACAGGUGGGAGACAGAAAGCUCUGGCAUCUCUUCUUAGAGUGAUACAGUCCCCUAGAUCACGGCUCCAAGCUUGGGACUAUAUUUAACUUUACUUCCUUAGAGGCUCCAUGUCUAAACACAGCUACCCUGGGGUAAUAGCUUCAAUAUAAGAAGUUAGAUGGGGGUGGGGGGAGACAGAUUCGGUCCAUAAUAAGUAAUGAGCACAAGUGGCACAGCUAGGAAGUAUCAGAGCAGGAAGUCAAACCCCCUUGCCCUGAAGUCCAUGCUCUUAACCACAGGGCAGCCCAUCACUAUGUGUAGGGUAUUAUGCCUAGUGUACACGGAGGGGUAGGACCUCAUCGCUGGAGAUGAUGAUGACAGGGUAGUCUGGGUCCAGAUGAACCCUAAACACUGCAUCCCUUGCCACGCUGUCUCCAUCCUGCCCACCAGCCAUACUGAAAACAUUCUUCCCUGAAGCUGUGCUCACUGUCUCCAAUCCUCCAAAUAGGGUGCUUUGCUUUACCUACAGAGGUGGUUCUCAAUGUUGGCGACACACUGGAAUUGCCUGAGAAGCUUUAGUAAAACCAAAACUCAGAGUCAGAGGAAAGGGUCCUCGCUAGCCUCAGUCAAAUACUGGUAGUAAUAAUAUAACUGCCUGAACAAACUAAGAAUUCAUGAGUUCAUGCUCAUGUAAGUGACCUUAAUGAGGAAAUCGAAAGUUUGAUGAUUAAACAAUGUUUAUAUAAUUUCAGAGUACCUCCUCACAAAGGACUGAUUAAUUACAAAAGGAAGAUGAGUGAAUUUAUAAUGGGGAAGCGUGGCAGUCCUCCCCUUAAUCAAGGGACCAAAGUGAACUUCAUCUGUACUGGGACAGAUAGAAACCAAGCGCCACCUUGUAGGUUACAGUAAGGGACCACGUCAACAGUGACUGCCCUGUAAAGAGGCAUAAGCUGGGUCCCAUCAUGAAGAAACAUCAGACCAACCAAAAUUCAGUGACAUCUCUACGGAAUAACUGGCUUGUGAUCUUCAAAAGUGUCAAAGCAUGGAAGUUAAGGAAAGACCCAGAAACUCUUUCAAAAUAAAGGUGACUAAACAUGCUUGACAACAAAAGGCCUCAUGGAAUUCUGAAUAAAAAAACAUUUUUAAACAUUUGGCAAAACUCGAGUGAUCAUAAUGUAUCCAUGUGGAUGUUUCGUUUUCGUUUUUGUUUGCUUUUUAGGGCCAUACCCAAGGCAUAUGGAGGUUGCAGAUGUGGCUCAGAAAUGGUGUUGUUGUGGUAUAGGCCAGCGGCUACAGCUCCAAUUCAGCCGCUAGCCUGGGAACCUCCAUAUGCCAUGGGUGCAGCCCUAAAAAGACAAAAAAAUAAAAAUAAAAAAAUUAAACUAUUUGCACUGUAAUUGUAAAUUUUCUGUAAAGUUUUGAAAUUCUUAACAUACAGAUGCUCAAAAUCCCUUAUGUCCAAUUUGCACAGUAAACCGUUUAAGAUAGUCUCUAGGGAGGAGACCUCGGGUUCAGUAGCUCUUGAAGUUAGUUCCUGGUGAUCCCAAUGUGGGCCUGGGCUGAGAACCGCUGGCCUUUUCCCCAAAUACAGUCUCUGAACCAGCAGAAUUACAAUCAGUGGGAAAACUGCUAGAAAUACAGAUUCUUUGGCCCCACUUCAGACCUCCUGAGUCAGAAAAUCUGAGGGUAGGACCAGCAACCUAUACUUGCACAAGCCCUCCAAGUGGUUUUGGGUCAUGGUUAAGUUCCAGAACUAUUGGUCUAGAGCCUUCCUCACUGUCCAUCGUUGCUCCCAAUAGCCUUCCAGAGUCAGGUCAGACCCUCAGCCUGUCCCAUCCCUGGGGCCACCUCACUGUCUUAGCAUAAACCUCGGGGUUUAGAAAUCAUCUGUUGACCCACUUGCCCCUCCCCCCCCAGAGCUGGGCCAAGUCUCAUUCACCCAGUCCCUGGCAUAGUCACCAGCGCAUGCUUAGUUAAUUGAUGCUUGUCAGGACGAGAAUUGUCGUGGUGUUCUCUUAGGCCACAUGUACCUCCGUGUGGGGUAUGUGCAUGCGAUGAUAAGUCUCCAGUCGUUCUGUGAUGGGGAUUUGCUAAGGGGCUCUGUGGAGGCUGGGAGCAUGACAAGCAUUUGAAACCACAUUCAGAAGCACCUCCGGGAGUUCCUGUUGUGGCUCAGCAGGUUAAGAAUUCGAUUCAUAUCCAUGAGGAUAUGGGUUUAAUCCCUGGCCUUGCUCAGUGGGUUAAGGAUCCAGCAUUGCAUGAGCUGUGGUGUAGGUUGCAGAUGCAGCUUGGAUCUGGUGUUUCUGUGGCUGUGGUGUAGUCCGGCAGCUACAGAUCUGAUUUGACCCUAGCCUGGGAACUUCCAUAUGCCACAUGUGUAGCCCUAAAAAAAAAA